rnacentral:rRNA from 1 species
AUUGAACGCUGGCGGCAUGCUUUACACAUGCAAGUCGAACGGUAACAGGCCGCAAGGUGCUGACGAGUGGCGAACGGGUGAGUAAUGCAUCGGAACGUGCCCAGUCGGGGGGGAUAACGCAGCGAAAGCUGUGCUAAUACCGCAUACGAUCUAUGGAUGAAAGCGGGGGACCGUAAGGCCUCGCGCGAUUGGAGCGGCCGAUGGCAGAUUAGGUAGUUGGUGGGGUAAAGGCCCACCAAGCCAACGAUCUGUAGCUGGUCUGAGAGGACGACCAGCCACACUGGGACUGAGACACGGCCCAGACUCCUACGGGAGGCAGCAGUGGGGAAUUUUGGACAAUGGGCGCAAGCCUGAUCCAGCAAUGCCGCGUGCAGGAAGAAGGCCUUCGGGUUGUAAACUGCUUUUGUACGGAACGAAACGGUCUGGGUUAAUACCUCGGGCUAAUGACGGUACCGUAAGAAUAAGCACCGGCUAACUACGUGCCAGCAGCAGCCGCAGUAA